rnacentral:lncRNA from 1 species
AUUGUGGAAGACCCAAACAAUAACAACUACCAGAAAGUAUUCGGGCUCUCAUGAAGCUACAUUUACAUCAGCAGUCCUGGAUUUGAGGACUGCUGACACUCUAAAGUCUCUUGAAGUCACAUUGGAGACCAACAAAAGGAGCAAGAUCAAACCCACCCACCAUGUUCCCAAUACUACAAAAGAGUGUCUGAUGAAGACAAGCCAUGACAGUGAGAAGUAAACAAGAACUCAAAACCCAGCACCAAGGCAGCAGCACAUCACUAGCGCCCGGACACCUGCAACAACCAAGGGCACAAAAGCCACAUGGGAAGGUAAGAAUCAU